GGCCUGGUGGUCUAGUAGUAUGAUUCCUUCUUAGGGCGUAUCUGCAAUUUGGAGGAGGUCCCGGGUUCAAUUCCCGGCCAGGCCC